GGUGCUGAAUAAGUGGAAGGCUUAUAGUAUGAGCAGGGGUCAGAGAGACAUUAAGGGGUUUUGUGCAGUGUCCACCAAGGAGAUACCAACCAGCCAUGAGCAUCCUGCAUGGCCUCUUUCCUGUUUUCUUGCUGCUGCUACUGGCAGCUCCAGGAGAUGGGAUCCUUUUACAUCUGAUAGACUCAUUGGCCUGCAAGGGGAAGCAUGGCAGGUGCAGGAAAGCUUUCUGCUUUCUGAACGAGAGGCAAAUUGGGAUGUGUACCUUUCGUAGACGGUUCUGCUGCAGAAGGAAGAAAUAAAGAGCCGGCAGACCUGAGAGCUAAGAAAGAGCCAUUGAAGAUUUGGAGUCUCUAGGGAGAAGAACGUGUAACAGAAGGGCUGGUGGCAUCAGGAAGAAUAAUUGCUGUUCUCUGUUAGAUACAACCUAUUGCUA